GGAGGAGUGCAAUGGUUGAGCAUUGGACUAUGACUCUGGAGAUCAGGGUUCAAUUCCCCGCUCAACCA